rnacentral:lncRNA from 1 species
UUCCUAACAAGCAUCCAGAUGUGGCUGCUGCUGGUGGUCUAUGAGCUACAUUUUUGUGGCAAGGCUCUAAAAUCCCCCUGCUAGGCAAGAGAGCCUGGUGCCCUGCCCUGUAUCCUCCCAGCCAGUUCAGAGGGCCUGACCCAAGGCUCUUGUGUGGCAGAAAUAGAGGAACUGACUGAGGCCAAGUCAGAGCAAAGAAACCUGCCUUCUGAGAUGGGCUGAGUGCUGAAGGAAGGGAAGAAGUAUCUCAUCUUGAGAAACUCAAAAUUUGCCUCUGUCUCCUGCAGUCAAGUGACUUCCACCUUGUGGGUCUGGCAGCACUCUGGCCUGUGAAGCUGAACUUUUCCAGGCUCAUCGAAUUUCUUGUGUGGAGAAGAGCACUUCCUGAUAUACAUGCAUUUUUGUCUGUCUCAGAGAGCAAGGAGUUUGUUUUAGUUACUGUUGUAACCGCAAAGCCUAAAACAGUGCCUGGCCUAUAACUGCCCUCAGUAAAUAUUUGCCAAAUGAAUGGAUGGAUAAAGAUAUGUAAUUAACUAUGAAGCGUGUUGACUGCAAACAUGGCCAGCUGCCCCAGUGUCCUUGUGGAAAGGCAGGCUCUUGCUCCUCAAAGGAUGUGGCUGAUUGUAUGAGAAAAAUGCUGUUGCCUUCACCAUGAUGGACGUGAUUGGGAACCAGAAAUUCAAGGAAUGGCUAUGGUGACUUGUUUUCACUGCUGAAAAGUAGAGGUCCAUUGGAAACCUAUCAGAAUAACUUAAAAAAUGGCAUAAACAACAGGUUAUUUGGACAUCAAUUAAGUAGCAACACCAAGAUGCUGAGAACCAAGAAUUGAAAGCUUUAUAAAGUCAAAUGUAAAUGAAGAACAAAUAAAGCAGACUAGUUUGAUUUAAUUCUUUAGAAA